GACGAACGCUGGCGGCGUGCUUAACACAUGCAAGUCGAACGGAAAGGCUCCAGCUUGCUGGAGUACUCGAGUGGCGAACGGGUGAGUAACACGUGGGUAAUCUGCCCUGCACUCUGGGAUAAGCCUGGGAAACUGGGUCUAAUACUGGAUAUGACCUUUCUCCUUAUGGGGUUUGUUGGAAAGUUUUGCGGUGUAGGAUGAGCCCGCGGCCUAUCAGCUUGUUGGUGGGGUGAUGGCCUACCAAGGCGACGACGGGUAGCCGGCCUGAGAGGGUGAUCGGCCACAUUGGGACUGAGAUACGGCCCAGACUCCUACGGGAGGCAGCAGUGGGGAAUAUUGCACAAUGGGCGGAAGCCUGAUGCAGCGACGCCGCGUGAGGGAUGACGGCCUUCGGGUUGUAAACCUCUUUCAGCAGGGACGAAGCGUAAGUGACGGUACCUGCAGAAGAAGCACCGGCUAACUAUGUG
rnacentral:rRNA from 1 species